rnacentral:rRNA from 1 species
CCCCCAGUAGCGGCGAGCGAACGGGGAGGAGCCCAGAGCCUGAAUCAGCAUGUGUGUUAGUGGAAGCGUCUGGAAAGGCGCGCGAUACAGGGUGAGAGCCCCGUACACAAAAGCGCAUAUGCUGUGAGCUCGAUGAGUAGGGCGGGACACGUGGUAUCCUGUCUGAAUAUGGGGGGACCAUCCUCCAAGGCUAAAUACUCCUGACUGACCGAUAGUGAACCAGUACCGUGAGGGAAAGGCGAAAAGAACCCCGGCGAGGGGAGUGAAACAGAACCUGAAACCGUGUACGUACAAGCAGUGGGAGCCCCACCACUAAGCCAGUGGUGAACUCCACAUACGCAUCCUUUGCGGAAGAUGCGGUUAACGGAGCGAAAGCGACGUUCAACCUCAGAAGAAGCAGAGGGGGCUUAGUGGUGGGGUGACUGCGUACCUUUUGUAUAA